AGCUCCAAUAGCGUAUAUUAAAGUUGUUGCGGUUAAAAAGCUCGUAGUUGGAUUUCUGCUGAGGACGACCGGUCCGCCCUCUGGGUGAGUAUCUGGCUCGGCCUUGGCAUCUUCUUGGUGAACGUAUCUGCACUUGACUGUGUGGUGCGGUGGCCAGGACUUUUACUUUGAGGAAAUUAGAGUGUUUCAAGCAGGCAUACGCCUUGAAUACAUUAGCAUGGAAUAAUAAGAUAGGACCUCGGUUCUAUUUUGUUGGUUUCUAGGGCUGAGGUAAUGAUUAAUAGGGAUAGUUGGGGUUCUUCGUAUUCAAUUGUCAGAGGUGAAAUUCUUGGAUUUAUGGAAGACGAACUGCUGCGAAAGCGUCGAACAAGGACGUUCUCA
rnacentral:rRNA from 1 species